ensembl:snoRNA
AUACUUUUAUAGUUCAUAAGUGUUCACACACACGUAUGAGAUGAGCCACCCUAGAACCUUGUUACAGUGUUAGCACAUUACCAGUCUGAUA